GGGACCAGGGGUCCAACCGCACCGGAAUACGAGUCCUGGAACUUUCUCCUAGCUUACUGGCUUUUACCUGAGCCCAGGUUGGGGCAAUAAAAGUACAGUUCCAUAAGAAAAGUACACAUCGUUCCACUUCCUCCUAACCUCCAACACACUUUCCUGACCUUUCUAACCCUGGAACCUGCCCAGCGGGGAGCCAAGGCCACCCCACCGUCACCGGUGCUUAUUUUCUGGCUGUCUGGCCCAUGUGGCUGCCACACGACGCCUUGUAGUAUUGAGGCUACGGAUAAGAACAGCAUUAGCUCUCAAUUCACCACCUUGGCCCGUUUCUCUUGUAACUUUUUUUAAAAGGCCUCAGUUUGCCCAGUUCCAGCGGGAGAAGAAACAUCGAAGUACCGGAUGAGGUACAGAAGAUACAACAAGGAAGCCAUGAGGAUAAACAGGACAGGAAAAGGAGACUGAAAUGGAGCAGUCGGUGUGAUAAGAGGAGCACAGCCCCCCGAUAUGAAAGUGCUUUCCAGACUUCUCUUGCCUGCUUUUCUGCUUGGGAAGCCUGCAUUACAAGUCGGCCUCAGUUAUCACCCUGGCUCCAAGUAUGUAACCUGGAAUCCUCUCAUCUGCUCCAGAACUCUUUUACACCUGUCAGGGACAGCUUCACUGGGUGCCUCAUGGUACCUCGGACUAAGUGUGUUGGAAACGUUUCAUUUUCCUUCCAAACCCAUUCAUGCUAUUAUGUUUACCAUUUAGUUCAUUGACACCACUGUCCUUCAAGCCAUUCCUGCUGAUCUUUGACGUAUCUCUUUCCCUCUGCAUUAUUUAAAGAAUGGUUUUCAAUGGGGAUGAGGUGUGUUCACAAGAUGAGGCAUUGGGUAGUCAGAACCAAGCACUAAAGCCUCUAUUUACAGUUAAUUCCUGUUAAAAGUUAUUAAAGAAAAUAAAGUUAGUGUCACUUUUCAGACAAUAGCAAAAUAGGGUGAAGGCAAGAAGCUUUUAUAGAAUAUAAAGAAUAAGGAAAAGAAAAAUGGAAAAUACUUAGUUGGCUGAGACCACAUACCAAACCUUCUCUGGGAUAAGAAGAAACAAGGAAAUGAGUCUAGAGCCCAGACUUGACUUGGCAUUUGGCGAUGGACUAACUGAAUGUGCUGCAUUCUGAUUCAGUGGAGUAUUUAUAGGGAUAGAAAAGUUACCUAAAUUUUGGUUUGCUGAUGUGGCGCCCUGGGGAAGGAGCAGCUUCAUCUUGGGCCUAGGAAGUUAUUUCAACAUUCCUGAGUACAAUAAAAUAAGGCUUCAUUAGUAUUUGAUAUAAGGACCUCCCCUGGUACUCAGAUUCGGUCUUUAUGGAGAGUCAUGUCAAGUGCACUUGGAAGGGAGUCCCAAGGGGACAGCAUGUUGUGCCUAUGAGCCUCUCAAACGAAUUCACAGAUUGUAUUAUCUACUUUCACUUAAACUCACAAAAUGGAGAGUGACUUUAAAAAUCCCUACAGGGAAUGUGAAUUGAAGAGGAUUCUAAUUAUGCAAAACCUACCUAACAUGAAGAAUAUACAGAACAGAAUUUUCCUCUAAAUACAAGCUCCUCCUCCUCAGCUACAUUACUUGGUUUUAAAAAAGUAUGUGGA